AUUGAACGCUGGCGGCAGGCCUAACACAUGCAAGUCGAGCGGAUGAAGGGAGCUUGCUCCUGGAUUCAGCGGCGGACGGGUGAGUAAUGCCUAGGAAUCUGCCUGGUAGUGGGGGAUAACGUCCGGAAACGGGCGCUAAUACCGCAUACGUCCUGAGGGAGAAAGUGGGGGAUCUUCGGACCUCACGCUAUCAGAUGAGCCUAGGUCGGAUUAGCUAGUUGGUGGGGUAAAGGCCUACCAAGGCGACGAUCCGUAACUGGUCUGAGAGGAUGAUCAGUCACACUGGAACUGAGACACGGUCCAGACUCCUACGGGAGGCAGCAGUGGGGAAUAUUGGACAAAGGGCGAAAGCCUGAUCCAGCCAUGCCGCGUGUGUGAAGAAGGUCUUCGGAUUGUAAAGCACUUUAAGUUGAGAGGAAGGGCAGUAAGUUAAUACCUUGCUGUUUUGACGUUACCAACAGAAUAAGCACCGGCUAACUUCGUG
rnacentral:rRNA from 1 species